rnacentral:ncRNA from 1 species
UUACCCGUGAAGGUUCGCUUAGCCGCGAUUAAUUGGGAAUCGAAGUGAAAAUCUUCAACUGUCCCGCAGCUGUGAACUCCAUUAGGGCUCCAAAAUCACGAAGCCAUUGUCUGUUUGGACGAGAAGGCAUUUUGGAGUGGAGGAAAGUCAGAAGACCAGCCUUGUAAAC